rnacentral:rRNA from 1 species
AUGAACGCUGGCGGCGUGCCUAAUACAUGCAAGUCGAGCGAACAGACGAGGAGCUUGCUCCUUCGACGUUAGCGGCGGACGGGUGAGUAACACGUAGGUAACCUACCUAUAAGACUGGGAUAACUUCGGGAAACCGGAGCUAAUACCGGAUAAUAUUUCGAACCGCAUGGUUCGAUAGUGAAAGAUGGCUUUGCUAUCACUUAUAGAUGGACCUGCGCCGUAUUAGCUAGUUGGUAAGGUAACGGCUUACCAAGGCAACGAUACGUAGCCGACCUGAGAGGGUGAUCGGCCACACUGGAACUGAGACACGGUCCAGACUCCUACGGGAGGCAGCAGUAGGGAAUCUUCCGCAAUGGGCGAAAGCCUGAAGGAGCAACGCCGCGUGAGUGAUGAAGGUCUUCGGAUCGUAAAACUCUGUUAUUAGGGAAGAACAAACGUGUAAGUAACUGUGCACGUCUUGACGGUACCUAAUCAGAAAGCCACGGCUAACUACGUG